rnacentral:rRNA from 1 species
CCCUUAGAUGUUCUGGGCUGCACGCGCGCUACACUGACACACCCAGCGAGUCUCCUGCCCUGACAGAGUUGGGUAAUCAUUGGAGUGUGUGUCGUGAUGGGGAUAGAGUAUUGCAAUUAUUGCUCUCGAACGAGGAAUUCCUAGUAAGCACAAGUCAGCAGCUUGUGCUGAUUACGUCCCUGCCCUUUGUACACACCGCCCGUCGCUCCUACCGAGGGGUGAUCCGGUGAAUGAUUCGGACUUUGGCGUUUCUAGCUGCUAGCAGCGCUGAAGAAAGUUUUGUGAACCUUAUCACUUGGAGGAAGGAGAAGUCGUAACA